rnacentral:lncRNA from 1 species
UUUUCUCGCAUUCAUUAAAAUGCACAAGAAGAAAUUUCUAAUGGUGAGGGUGAAAGCAAAGUCAUCAUACACUGUUUGCUUCAUUGUAUGAGAAUCAAUGUUUGCAUGAUAAACUGCCCUAAUGGAAGAGGACUCUGAGUUACCUUUUUCGAGCAAAGCCACCUAGGUUACUCUGUUUUCCCCAGAGUGACCCUUCUGUUCUGCAAAUUUUCAGAUUGAAGGGAGUAGCAGUAGAGUAUCAGAAGUAUCAGAAGCAAAAAAGUAAAUGUAUGAUUUGCAAAGCAUAACAAAAUGAAAAAUAAGCUUCUGCAGUCAUGGAAGUUCAGAAUUGGAUAACAACUUAGAUUAUUUAUUCCAACCUCAUCGAAAAAGAGAUAAAGACAUGGAAUUCAGGAAAAGUGGUGAGGAAGCAAAUUCAGAAAUGUAUGACUAGGAAUAUGGAAGCAACUGAAUAUGAGGUUAGAAUGUGAAACUGAAUUUAAAGGUGUAACUUGGGCCUGACUGAAAUAUAGCAAUUUAGCAGAAGUGGGAUUAAUUAUGUAGCCUUACCUAGUUGUACACAAGAUCAGGCUGGGACUGAAAUUCUACAAUAUGACUCCAUACCACCAAAAGAAUUCCAGCCCUCUGAGCAGUAGGAAAGAGAGUUUUGUUUUCUUGUAACCAGAACAUAAACUUUUGAUAGUCAUAACCUUUAUUUCAGUCUAUAAAUUUAGAUAUUGAUGGGGUUCAAAACAUUCUAUCCCCAAAUAUGGCACCAUGGAAUUUGAGCAAACGGCAAAAGUAGAAAGAUCACCCUUUGACUUUCUCCUGCCCUCCUCCUCUGAAAUCAGGUCAAGAGCCCCUCAUUUGAGAGGUGCUGUCCCUAUGCCCAGAGGAAAGAACAUCCUUAUCUAUAAAGACACAAAUAUAUAAAAAAUAAUCUGAACAGUAGGUCUUGUUAAGCGACUCCCCCUGAGUUUAUUACCACUGGAUCAUAUCCCUUUGCUUAAUCACACUUCCGUGCAACUGUCCACUUUUGUUCAAAUCUAAGCAUAAAAAUACAUAGGUUUCUCUGUUUCUUUGGGUCUUUAUAUCUGAAGGCUCCUGGCCUAUGUAAAACUCACAUUAAGUAAAUUUGUAGGCUUGUCUCUUCUUAAUUCGUUUUUAUAAGGACCUCAGUCAUGAGCCUAGAGAUAGAAAAGAAAGAUGUUUCUUUUCCCCUAUAGCAUAUUCAAAAGUGUAAAUGAAGUUUAUUCAGGGUCCUUAGUUUUACCAACUAUUUUUUUCUUUCUUGGAUAUACAAAUCUUUAAUACACUAAAUGCAGCUUCUAUAAUUUUAAACAAAUACAUUCUUCAAACCAAACCAAAGAUAGAAUAACUUUUAUAAAACAGGAGACACUUUAGAGGUAUAGUUAGCAGAUAUUUGUAAUUUUCAUGUGUUUGCAG